AAUCCGACCUAGGCUCAUCCUUUAGCGCGAGGUCUUACGAUCCCCCGCUUUCCUCCGUAGAGCGCAUGCGGUAUUAGCCCGGCUUUCGCCGGGUUGUCCCCCACUACAGGGUAGAUUCCUACGUAUUACUCACCCGUCCGCCACUCGUCGCCAGGGUUGCCCCCGCGUUACCGUUCGACUUGCAUGUGUUAGGCAUGCCGCCAGCGUUCGUUCUGAGCCAGGAUCAAACUCU
rnacentral:rRNA from 1 species